rnacentral:rRNA from 1 species
AGAGUUUGAUCAUGGCUCAGGAUGAACGCUAGCGGCAGGCCUAAUACAUGCAAGUCGGACGGGAUCCAGGAGCUUGCUCUUGGUGAGAGUGGCGCACGGGUGCGUAACACGUAUGUAACCUACCUUUAUCAGGGGGGAUAGCCUCUCGAAAGAGAGAUUAAGCCCGCAUAAAAUCACACACUGGCAUCAGUAAAUGAUCAAAUAUUUAUAGGAUAAAGAUGGGCAUGCGGAACAUUAGCUAGUUGGUAAGGUAACGGCUUACCAAGGCUACGAUGUUUAGGGGAUCUGAGAGGAUGACCCCCCACACUGGUACUGAGACACGGACCAGACUCCUACGGGAGGCAGCAGUAAGGAAUAUUGGUCAAUGGGCGGAAGCCUGAGCCAGCCAUGCCGCGUGCAGGAAGACGGCCCUACGGGUUGUAAACUGCUUUUAUACGGGAAUAAACCUACUUACGUGUAAGUAGCUGAAUGUACUGUAAGAAUAAGGAUCGGCUAACUCCGUGCCAGCAGCCGCGGUAAUACGGAGGAUCCAAGCGUUAUCCGGAUUUAUUGGGUUUAAAGGGUGCGUAGGCGGCCUGUUAAGUCAGGGGUGAAAGACGGUAGCUUAACUAUCGCAGUGCCCUUGAUACUGAUGGGCUUGAAUGUACUUGAGGUAGGCGGAAUGUGACAAGUAGCGGUGAAAUGCAUAGAUAUGUCACAGAACACCAAUUGCGAAGGCAGCUUACUAAAGUAUGAUUGACGCUGAGGCACGAAAGCGUGGGGAUCAAACAGGAUUAGAUACCCUAGUAGUCC